rnacentral:lncRNA from 1 species
CUGGAAAUAAUGAGAAAGGGAACUCUUCUUCACUUAGGUGUUGUUGGCUGAACAGAUUUUAAACUCAGGCUGCAGGUACUACCUUCUAGCCACAAGGGAAGUGAGUACCUGAGGAUGAGCCUACCUGACAGGAAAGCCCAGAAACAAAGAGAAACCUGAUGAGUGGUCAGAUCUCUAGAGCACCUAAUGCCAGCUGUACCUGAAGGUAGUUCUACCCUUGGAUUUUUCAGUUAGGUUAACCAAUAAAAUGUCUUAUAAUUGAACAGAUCCCAAUUGAUGGAGAAGACCAGAAGGAUGUCAAGGAACCAGGCUGGAAGCACUGGGAGGAGCCAUCUGGGUGGAAGGAAGAGGAAGUGCAAAGAGUCUGCAGAAGAGGGUUUGAAGCACUUAGGGAACAUGAAGUUGGCAAAUGAGGCAGGAAGACAUUGACCCGUGUUGGUGGAAUGAGAUGGGACAGAGUCGCAGGAAGAGAGUCCCAUUUCCACAAAUCAGCAGAAGAGGGAGGGGAAAUCCCAUAUAUAGCACUUUAAAAAUUAAUGGCUCUAUUAGAAAAUUAUCUUCUUAAUUUUUUUUUAAAUCUUUAUUUUAUUAUUAUUUGUUUAUCUUUAUGUGGUGCUGAGGAUCAAACCCAGUGCCUCGUGCAUGCUAGGCAAGCACCCUGCCACUGAGCUAUGCCCAAGCCCCAGAAAAUUACCUUUUGCAAGGUAUUGAUGAACCAACUAAAAAGUAAAAGGAAUAUGGACUCCAAGUAUAGCUCUGGGUAGCUUACCUAGCACCUGAAAGGCCCUGGGUAACAUCCCCAGCACCACAGAAAACAAGCAAAACGCUCUGGAUAUUUAAUGGAAUAUCCCAUUAAACAAGAAUGCUGGGCAUCCCAGAGACUCAGGAGGCUGAGGCAAGAGAGGUUUGAGGUCAGCCUCAGGAACUUAGUGAGACCCUGUCUCAAAAUAAAAUAAAGCCAGAGCCGGGCACAAUGGCGCACACUUGUAAUCCCAGUGGCUCAUGAGGCUGAGACAGGAGGAUCCCGAGUUCAAAGCCGGCCUCAGCAAAAGUGAGGCACCAACUAACUCAGUGAGACCCUGUCUCUAAAUGAAAUACAAAAUAGAGCUGGGGAUGUGGCUCAGUGGUCGAAUGCCCCUGAGUUCAAUACCCGUACCCACACUCCAAAAAAAAAAAUAAUAAUAAUAAAAAAGCCAAGUGUGGUGGCACAAGCCUGUAAUCCCCACAGCUCAGGGAGAAUUACUAGUUCAAAGCCAGCCUCAGCAACUUAGCAAGGCCUUAAGUAACUCAGUGAGACCCUAUCUCUAAUUAAAAUACAAAAAAGGGCUGGGGAUGUGGCUCAGUGAUUAAGCACCCCUGGAUUCACUCCCCAGUAUCAAAAAAAUAAAAGGGGUUGGGGAUGUAGCUCAGGGGCAAAGCGCCCCUGGGUUUAAUCCCCAGUACCAAACAAACAAGUGGUGGAUACCUGGAUAUUCAUUUUUAAAAUAUUUCUGCAAUUUAAAUGAUGCAUAUACAUUUAUAUACAUAUGUUUAUAUAUUAUUUCAUUUAUAUGUAUAAAUAAAUGUACACAU